rnacentral:lncRNA from 1 species
AUCAGCUCUUUGUUAAACGCGCACAGUUGAGUGUGAGAACAAAACAUCUUCAAGUCUGUGUCCCCGGAAAUAAUUUACUGUUAGAACAUCAACAAAUGCAGCAUUUGCUAAAAAGCUCCACAUUUGUUGGUGGUGGUUAGGGUUUUGGAAAAAGAAUAAUUUAGCACUUGAGUUCAACAGAGAAUUCUGAUUUUUAAAAAAAUGUCCUGUAAAAACAUACUUUUCCUCUACUGGAAAAGAAAAAAUAUUUUUUUGAGGCUAGUUUGUGACUCACCAUGAGGCCAUUAUUCUCAGGUAAUUUAUACAUGCCUUUAAAAAAUUAUUAGCAGUGUUCAAUUAGCAUUUUCUUAACUGGCUAACCCAUUUGAAGGGGAAAGAAGUUAGAGCUUGCGGCCCACAAAGCCUGCUAGACUUUUAAACUAAAUUCAGCGCCGGAGACCAGACUGCAGCAAGAAGUCUCAUUACUAUAUGGAGGAAGGAAUGUAAUAGGUAUCUGUAAUGAGGUUGACUAUAGCUGGAAGCAAAGACACAGCUGAUUUAUACUGCAGAUAGGCACAUUAGCAAAAUAAAUACUCCAAGUACUCAACUUUGCUCAAUGUAUGCAAAAUCUAAUUUUAAACCCGCAAAGGUUAUGGAACAGGGCAAAAAAAACCAAAAAGAGCCUCAAAUCUUCAGGUAAGUAGUUUCUUAAUGAUUGAUAAAAAGGCCUCACUCAAAUUCUAGUCAUGUAUCUUAAAAAUAACCACAAAGUGCAAAGAAUUUCUACUUUUAAAUUUCUUUUUAAGAGUGGAAUGUUCUUCAGCAGCCCUGCAUGUUUAAAAACAAAAAUCUAAGGCCGAAGCGGGCGGAUCACGAGGUCAGAGAUUGAGACCAUCCUGGCUAACACAGUGAAACCCUGUUUCUACUAAAAAGUAUAAAAAAUUAGCCGGGUGUAGUGGCGGGCGCCUGUAGUCCCAGCUACUCGGGAGGCUGAGGCAGGAGAAUGGCGUGAACCCGGGAGGCGGAGCUUGCAGUGAGCUGAGAUCGGGCAACUGCACUCCAGCCUGGGUGACAGAGUGAGACUCUGUCUCAAAAAAAAAAAAAAAAA